UACGGAGGGUGCAAGCGUUAUCCGGAUUCACUGGGUUUAAAGGGUGCGUAGGCGGGUAGGUAAGUCAGUGGUGAAAUCCUGGAGCUCAACUCCAGAACUGCCAUUGAUACUAUCUAUCUUGAAUAUUGUGGAGGUAAGCGGAAUAUGUCAUGUAGCGGUGAAAUGCUUAGAUAUGACAUAGAACACCCAUUGCGAAGGCAGCUUACUACGCAUAUAUUGACGCUGAGGCACGAAAGCGUGGGGAUCAAACAGGAUUAGAUACCCUGGUAGUCCACGCCCUAAACUAUGGAUACUCGACAUAUGCGAUACACUGUAUGUGUCUGAGCGAAAGCAUUAAGUAUCCCACCUGGGAAGUACGUUCGCAAGAAUGAAACUCAAAGGAAUUGGCGGGGGUCCGCACAAGCGGUGGAGUAUGUGGUUUAAUUCGAUGAUACGCGAGGAACCUUACCUGGGCUAGAAUGCUGGGAGACCGCUAGUGAAAGCUAGUUUUGUAGCAAUACACUGCCAGUAAGGUGCUGCAUGGCCGUCGUCAGCUCGUGCCGUGAGGUGUUGGGUUAAGUCCCGCAACGAGCGCAACCCCUAUCUUUAGUUGCCAACAGGUAAUGCUGGGAACUCUAAAGAAACUGCCGCCGUAAGGUGUGAGGAAGGAGGGGAUGAUGUCAGGUCAUCAUGGCCUUUAUGCCCAGGGCUACACACGUACUACAAUGGGGGAGACAAAGGGCUGCAACAUAGCGAUAUGAAGCCAAUCCCAAAAACUCCCUCUCAGUUCAGAUUGCAGGCUGCAACUCGCCUGCAUGAAGCUGGAAUCGCUAGUAAUCGGAUAUCAGCCAUGAUCCGGUGAAUACGUUCCCGGGCCU
rnacentral:rRNA from 1 species